GUGCUCGCUUUGGCAGCACAUAUACUAAAAAUUGGAAUGAUACGGAGAUUAGCAUGGCCCCUGCACAAGGAUGACACGCAAAUUCGUGAAGCGUCCCAUAUUUUU
rnacentral:snRNA from 1 species